GUAGAGUUGGCAUUUGAUUGCCCUAUUGUUUACUUGAAAUUCGACUCUAACCUUGCACUAGUAUAAGACAAUGGCCAAAAGCUAUCAAUCCUAGGGGAACUCAGGAAGGCAAAGGGGGAGAUUUUCCUUUAUCCACCCGAAAUAGAGCUAUCAGCGCUAAUGGAUCAAUCCUUAUUGAACUGGUGAAUUCACCUAUUGCCAAUUAUCCUAUAUUUUACUCUACUAGACAAUAUUAGUUGUCUAACCCUAAUAGAUAGGGCUCCUUCCGAAGCCGCUAAAACCCUCUUCUAUUUGAAUCUUCUCCCGCGUGAGACAAGGUUAUGAAAUAGCUUAGUGCUAGCUAAGGAAGAGUGUAACCGGAUCGCAUCCGCUUCCUGAUACCUAGCACAGAUUCCCCAGUCUAUUUAGCGCU
rnacentral:lncRNA from 1 species